rnacentral:sRNA from 1 species
AAUUUUUAAUAUUCAAAAAAAAAAAAAAAAAAAAAAAAAAUAUAUCCUCUUCCUUCUCUCUUAAAAACAAAAGCACCGCUUCAAUUCCGCCGGCGUUGUGAGCCACCACGGUCAUGACGUCGGUUUGGCUUUUUGGUUUAUGUUCAGUUAUGUCUCUUUAAGUUGUGGUUAAGGAGAUUUCUGGGUUGGUUUCGAUUUCGUUUCCUCCUCAAUUUCUCUUAUUAGAUCUAUAGUUUCGAUUGGUGAUUUUGCAAAUUAGCGUGGUUUUCUUCUCUGACUAAAUACUCCCUGGCCUAAUCACGAUCGCUCUAUGCCACUCACUGUCGGUGUUGUGGUGAUUCGGGUUGGGUGACCUAAUUUUGGGUUUCCUCACACAGCUUCAACAAUACGGAUCUAGGGCGAAAUCCGCCCAGAUUUUGGGUUCUUUCUACCGGUUCAAGUCGCAUAGUCGAUAUCUCCGGCCACGGCGUUCUCGACGGUCUCUGCAUGUUUAGCUGAGUUUCCACCGUCUGCCAUCCAAAGUAUCCCAAGGUUUUUCUUCUGAAGAUUUUUAAUUAUCAAGUAAGGCAAGAAGAUCAAAUUUUCUUAAAGUGGGUGUCUCAAUCUCCGACGAAAUCUCCGAUGCCAGUUAAUUUUCGAUCUUGGUUUAUUUGGUUAAAGAGAGAACUAUGUUUAUGUGUAAAAUCAUCAAUCAUGUUUUAUUUUGUCUUUCUACGUCGUUUCCCCAUGUCGGGGCUUAGUGUCGGGGUUUCAUUCCUCGCCGGCUUGUGUACCGGAGGAUUAUAUCCUGCCGGCUUUGUCGUCCCGUAAUUCACUCGGGUUUAUGUAUCUGAUAUGGUUUGUGCUGAUAAUAAAAUUAGCUUUG